UACGGAGGGUGCAAGCGUUAUCCGGAUUCACUGGGUUUAAAGGGUGCGUAGGUGGGUUUGUAAGUCAGUGGUGAAAUCUCCAAGCUUAACUUGGAAACUGCCGUUGAUACUAUAAAUCUUGAAUGUUGUGGAGGUGAGCGGAAUAUGUCAUGUAGCGGUGAAAUGCUUAGAUAUGACAUAGAACACCAAUUGCGAAGGCAGCUCACUACACAAAGAUUGACACUGAGGCACGAAAGCGUGGGGAUCAAACAGGA
rnacentral:rRNA from 1 species